GGGUCCAUGGUCUAAAGGUAUGACAAGAGACUUCUAAUCUCUUCAUACGGGUUCAAAUCCCGUUGGAUCCU
rnacentral:tRNA from 1 species